rnacentral:tRNA from 1 species
ACGACUGUAGCUCAGUUGGUUAGCGCGAUACCUACUCUCUAUGACCCACGCCGAAAUCGGUGGUUCGAAUCCACUCAGUUGUACCA